AUACAAUUAGAAGGUACAAGGAAGAUUUUGAUACAUGUAUAUGUUGAGUAAUGAUAAAAUCAGGUUAUUUAGCAUCUCUUCAUCUCAUAUGGUUAUUAUUUUUGAGUGGUAACAACAUUCAGAAUCUUUCCUUCUAGCUACUUUGAAACAUAUGAUACAUUUGUGUUAAGGCUAGUCACCCUGCUGUGGAAUAGAAGACCAGAAUUGGUCGCUCUCAUCUGAGAGUAACUUUGUACCCCAUCACUGAUUCCUUCUGAGACCGCCUCCACUUCCCCAGCAGCCUCUGGUUUCUUCACGUGGCUGCAGAUGGCAGGAUUUCCCAAAGGUUUAUGGCUGAAACAUAUUCCGUGGUGUAUCUGUACAGCAGUUUCCUCAUCCCUGCAGCUGUGUUUGAACAGGUCAUUUACCAUGCUGUCCUCCAGGUUCAACAGUAUGGCU